rnacentral:rRNA from 1 species
GUCCAGACUCCUACGGGAGGCAGCAGUGGGGGAUAUUGCACAAUGGGGGGAACCCUGAUGCAGCGACGCCGCGUGGGUGAAGGAGUAUUUCGGUAUGUAAAGCCCUAUCGGCAGGGAAGAAGGAGGACGGUACCUGACUAAGAAGCCCCGGCUCACUACGUGCCAGCAGCCGCGGGAAUACGUAGGGGGCAAGCGUUAUCCGGAUUUACUGGGUGAAAAGGGGGCGCAGACGGCAGCGCAAGCCAGGAGUGAAAGCCCGGGGCCCAACCCCGGGACUGCUCUUGGAACUGCGCGGCUGGAGUGCAGGAGGGGCAGGCGGAAUUCCUGGUGUAGCGGUGAAAUGCGUAGAUAUCAGGAGGAACACCGGUGGCGAAGGCGGCCUGCUGGACUGCGACUGACGUUGAGGCCCGAAAGCGUGGGGAGCAAACAGGAUUAGAUACCCCCGUA